rnacentral:rRNA from 1 species
UGGGGAAUUUUCCGCAAUGGGGGGAACCCUGACGGAGCAACGCCGCGUGCGGGAGGACGGCCUGUGGGUUGUAAACCGCUUUUCUCUGGGAAGAAGCUCUGACGGUACCAGAGGAAUCAGCAUCGGCUAACUCCGUGCCAGCAGCCGCGGUAAGACGGAGGAUGCAAGCGUUAUCCGGAAUUACUGGGCGUAAAGCGUCUGUAGGUGGCUUGGUUAGUCUAUUGUUAAAUAUUAGGGCUUAACCCUGAGACAGCAUUAGAAACUUCUAAGCUAGAGUAUGGUAUGGGCAAAGGGAAUUCCCAGUGUAGCGGUGAAAUGCGUAGAUAUUGGGAAGAACACCAGUAGCGAAAGCGCUUUGCUUGGCCUCAGCUGACACUGAGAGACGAAAGCUAAGGUAGCGAAUGGGAUUAGAUACCCCUGUAGUCC